rnacentral:tRNA from 1 species
UAGCAUAGUGGUUAAGUGCUGUGGCUGCUAACCAAAAGGUCGGCAGUUCAAAUCUGUC